ensembl:lncRNA
GAGGUACAAGAACACAAUCACCACGGCGACAAGGACAUCUCACAGCAUAGAUUUUCACUCAGAGGCAAAAGAGGCAGGUCAGCAACCAGAGGUUUGCUAGUUCAAAUCCUGAGUUGUCUUCUUCUUUCUCCAAGUAGUACUGUGCAUCAGUGGGAGCUGUAUGACAGGGGCUAAACUGAGCUGAAAGGAAGUGCGCAGACCAGAUUCACAGCCAUCUUUUACAAUCAGCUUCAUUAUGAAGCAGGACAAUUAUCCCAAACACACUGGAAUAGCUACCAAGUUUUAAAUAUCUGGACUGGCAAGGUCAAUCACCCAAACUCAAUUCAAUGUGGAGAUGCUCAAGGCAAGACGGAAGGCAAAAGGGCCCAGGAACAAGCCAGAACUGAAGCCACACGCCUGGCAGAAAACAACUGUGAAAGCUCCUCAGCAUCUACUUAUGUCAGUGGUCCUCAGACUUCUGGCCAUCGUGGCAUGCAAAGGAUAUGCAACCACACAGCUCCGGAAAACAUGAAGAGACCCCUACAGC